rnacentral:rRNA from 1 species
CCUACGGGAGGCAGCAGUGGGGAAUAUUGCACAAUGGGGGAAACCCUGAUGCAGCGACGCCGCGUGAAGGACGAAGUAUUUCGGUACGUAAACUUCUAUCAGCAGGGAAGAAAAUGACGGUACCUUACCAAGAAGCCCCGGCUAACUACGUGCCAGCAGCCGCGGUAAUACGUAGGGGGCAAGCGUUAUCCGGAUUUACUGGGGUGAAAGGGAGCGGAGACGGCCAUGCAAGUCUGAAGUGAAAACCCGGGGCCCAACCCCGGGACUGCAAUGGAAACUUUGGGGCUGGAGUGUCGGAGAGGCAAGUGGAAUUCCUAGUGUAGCGGUGAAAUGCGUAGAUAUUAGGAGGAACACCAGUGGCGAAGGCGGCUUGCUGGACGACGACUGACGUUGAGGCUCGAAAGCGUGGGGAGCAAACAGGAUUAGAUACCCCGGUAGUC